UGUGAAGGAAAGGUGAAAAGGACCCCGGGAGGGGAGUGAAAGAGAACCUGAAACCCUGUGUCUACAAGCUGUGGAAGCACUUUAUAUGUGCGACCGCGUACUUUUUGUAGAACGGUCCGGCGAGUUACGCUUACUGGCAAGGUUAAGCACUUCAGGUGUGGAGCCGUAGGGAAACCAAGUCUUAAGAGGGCCUUAAGUCAGUAGGAGUAGACCCGAAACCGGGUGAUCUAUCCAUGUCCAGGUUGAAGCUGCCGUAAGAGGUAGUGGAGGACCGAACCCACAUCCGUUGAAAAGGGUGGGGAUGAGGUGUGGAUAGGGGAGAAAUUCCAAUCGANACCUUGUGGGAAAUCAGGGGGACCACCCCCUAAGGCUAAAUACUACUUAGUGACCGAUAGCGCAUAGUACUGUGAAGGAAAGGUGAAAAGGACCCCGGGAGGGGAGUGAAAGAGAACCUGAAACCCUGUGUCUACAAGCUGUGGAAGUGCUUUAUAUGCACGACCGCGUACUUUUUGUAGAACGGUCCGGCGAGUUACGCUUACUGGCAAGGUUAAGCACUUCAGGUGUGGAGCCGUAGGGAAACCAAGUCUUAAGAGGGCCUUAAGUCAGUAGGAGUAGACCCGAAACCGGGUGAUCUAUCCAUGUCCAGGUUGAAGCUGCCGUAAGAGGUAGUGGAGGACCGAACCCACAUCCGUUGAAAAGGGUGGGGAUGAGGUGUGGAUAGGGGAGAAAUUCCAAUCGAACCCGGAGAUAGCUGGUUCUCCUCGAAAUAGCUUUAGGGCUAGCCUCGAUACAGAUUUGCGGAGGUAGAGCACUGAAUUUCCUAGGGGGCGUCAAAGCCUACCGAAGAAUAUCAAACUCCGAAUGCCGCGUAAUCGAUUAUCGGGAGUCAGACUGCACGAGAUAAGUUGGGCGGUCAAAAGGGAAAGAGCCCAGACCUUCAGUUAAGGUCCCCAAGUGCGCGUUAAGUGGAAAAGGAUGUGGGAUUUCGAAGACAACCAGGAUGUUGGCUCAGAAGCAGCCAUCCAUUCAAAGAGUGCGUAAUAGCUCACUGGUCGAGAGGUCCUGCGCCGAAAAUGUCCGGGGCUGAAACGCGCCACCGAAACUAAGGAACCGAAAGGUUGGUAGAGGAGCAUUGCAUGCGGGAAGAAGCAGUACCGUAAGGAGCUGUGGACUGCAUGGAAGAGAGAAUGCCGGAAUGAGUAGCGAGAAUAAGGUGAGAAUCCUUAUGGCCGAAUAUCCAAGGUUUCCAGAGUAAAGCUGAUCUGCUCUGGGUAAGUCGGGGCCUAAGGCGAGGACGAGAGUCGUAGCCGAUGGACAACAGGUGGAGAUUCCUGUACUGCGGUAUGACAGAACUGUGGGGACACGUAAGGAAAGCGGAAGCCGGG
rnacentral:rRNA from 1 species